rnacentral:lncRNA from 1 species
CUGAACAGUUUUGGGAACUAUUAGGAGGAAAGACAGAAUAUCCCACUCAAAAGAUCGUGAGGGAGGCUGAAAAUGAUCCUCACCUAUUUUCCUGCAAUUUCUCAGAAGGUAAGGACCAAUGUCUUGUUAGCUCGGUAGUUUUAUGUGUUAUUCGCCCACCCGCACCCGUCUCUUUUAUUGAAGGCAAAUAAUGACUGACUUGUUUAUGAUGGUUUCUUUCCCUGCCUGAUUGACCAACAUGCAGGAAAUUUAAAGGUGUGUACACCCACUGAUCUAUUUAAAUGCAUGAUUUUUAAAUAUUGAGUUGUGUUGAACCCAUGGUAUGAAGGCAAUGUUUAUUUACAGGUGACGGAGAUACACAACUUUUCCCAGGAUGAUUUGAUGACAGAAGAUAUUUUCAUUUUGGAUUGUCACUCUGAAAUCUUUGUGUGGGUUGGCCAGCAGAUUGACCCCAAAAGUAGAAUGCAGGCUAUACCAAU